UGCGUGUGAUUUCUUUUAUGUGAGCAUACGUGUCUUGUUUUCCACAGCACGGCUGCUAUCCAGUUCACCUGGUCUCACAUAACAGUCACACGGAGGCAGCGCUCACUCCACAGGGGGCAGACGGCAGCUACAAAGGUGGCCUGGAAGAUGUAAACUCAUGGGUCAUCAGACAGCCCUGCACCGGGCAGCUGUUGUGGGAAACCGUGAUGCUAUCUCUGCCCUCAUCCAUGGAGGCUGUGCACUUGAUCAACAAGACAAGGAAGGAAACACUGCUUUGCAUAAGGUAUCAUGGCAUGGCUUCAGUUCAUGUGUAAAGCUACUGGUCAAAGCUGGAGGCAAUGUCCAAGUGAAGA